UUGGAGGGCAAGUMUGGUGCCAGCAGCCGCGGUAAUUCCAGSUYCAAUAGCGURUAUUAAAGUUKUUGCAGUUAAAAARCUCGUAGUUGAACCUUGGGCSUGGYUGGCCGGUCCGUCUCAUCGCGUGUAYUGGUCCGGCUGGGCMUUUCMUUCUGGCUAGGCACAUGCCCUUCACUGGGUGUGUGUCCGAACCAKGACUUUUACUUUGAAAAAAUUAGAGUGUUCAAAGCAGGCAUAUGYUCGAAUACAUUAGCAUGGAAUAAUAGAAUAGGACGUGUGGUUCUAUUUUGUUGGUUUCUAGGACCGCCGUAAUGAUUAAUAGGGAUAGUCGGGGGCAUCAGUAUUCAAUUGUCAGAGGUGAAAUUCUUGGAUUAAUUGAAGACUAACUACUGYGAAAGCAUUUGCCAAGGAUGUUUUCAUUAAUCAGUGAACGAAAGUUAGGGGAUCGAAGACGAUCAGAUACCGUCGUAGUCUUAACCAUAAACUAUGCCGACUAGGGAUCGGACGGGCUUCUAUUUUGAMCSGKUCGGCGCCUUWCGGGAAAC
rnacentral:rRNA from 1 species